UCAUGAAACUAUCCGCUGUCCGGUUUGGGUUUGCAAAUUCUGAGUUUGCAGGAGAUUUUUUUUUUUUCUGGGGGAGUGCGCACCAGAAGAAAAGUCUUUAUAUUUGAUGCCAAACAAACAAACAAACAAACAAACAAACAAACACGAGGAAUCCCAUGUUUGUGAGAGGGUUGAAGGACGACAUCCGCAAAGAUCGCGUCGCCUGCGCUCCUCUCCCCACCCAUACAAAGAGAAAAACAACAGAAAAGAUGCUCUCACGAUUUCAUGCACGACAGAACUUUUUGUUUGUGCAAAGAGGGCUGCACAGGGCACAACAUCUGCGGGCUGAGGUACGGAGCGAUAUUGGACUUUUCUGCGUGAUGGGUAGCAAUCCGUUCAAUUGAACAAACCUCAACGCAAACCAAAGUUUCAGAUGGUCCGGACUGGAAGUGUCAUGCCUGGAGGAGGAGUUGGAAGUAAUCCUGUACAUCGCCUGCCUCUCUUAUGGUCCUCCAGCUAAGGUGCAUCUAGUGUAGUUAGUGGAGUAGUACAGUAUCUACUGCCCUAGUUGCUCCUUCUGGCUGGAGGGCUUGUUCUUUUUCAGGAUCUGAAAAAACUGCCGAAAACUGCUUCAUCUCUGUGAUGAAAUGCCUCAUGCCUUCCUUUUUAGAACAUGAAUAGUUCUGUAAGUUAGACGUCUUCGUAUUAGCUAGAGCCAACGUGUUGUAGCCUUUUUUUUCUUUUUCUUUUUAUUCACAGAAACCUUCACUGAUAAUGGACAGACGGAAGUAGUGCAGAGCAGAUUAAUCUUAAAAACGGUAAUAAAAAUAAGAAAACAAACAAUAACUUGCUUAAAGGACAGCAGCAAAAGACACCAGGUCAGUGCCCCAAGAGUGCAUGUAUACACAAUGUAAAAUACAUGUGUACAACAUAAUUUGUCUUUUUCAUCAUCAUUUCACCGUGCAGAUACAUUGUUUACAUUUAGCUUUUGGACAGGAGGGUGAUUGCUGUCGGUGUGUAUCGUAUUUAUCAGUGUGCUCGUGCACAGGUCUUUCCCCUCAGACAUCUUUAGUGACUCGAGACUUUCUGACUCUUAAGCUGAACAUGUUGACUUGGCAGUUCCAAAGUGCUCACAGUGCAGGUAGUACACACGGAUCUACUGCAGUUUGUGCACUUCAGGUACUGCUGCUCACCUCCCCUCAUACAUCAGGCUGCUUAAACUUGAAGGUGGAGCUGUGGUGGGUUUACAGCGAGUUUUGUUGGUUUGCUCUCAGCUUGUUCCAGCCUGUGCUGUGCAAAUCCAUGCAAAGCUCUCUGUUUCUCAGACACGCAGCCAAAGGAAGAGAUAUGGGUUUUGUUUGCUGUUGUACUGAGCUUCAAUGAACACUUGAAAGGCUUAAAAAUUGUAUUCACCGCAGGCACAAGAGAGCCACUCUGUGUGUCGUCGCCCCCGCAGUCAUGUUAAGGCAUAUUAAAGUUAAGUUUCUUUGGCGUUGCUGUUUGUCUCACUGUUUUCAGGUGGGUGACUUCACUAUUUCAUUACUUGACAAAAUGAAAGAAAUUGCACAAUAUCCAUCUGCAGUCCGCCAGACUACACAGCUACACAUUUAUUAUCUUUUAUUAUACUAAUUUGUGUACAGAGAAACGGUUAAGAUAGAUGUGCUUUUCUCUGGCUUAAUGAACUGAGUUGCAAAUGUUGGCCUCUCUGGUGUCUGACAUGCAGGCUGGACACUUGGUGGCAGCAUUUCAACUUUAUUGGCUCUUUGGAGCUGAGUGGAAGUAAAAUAACUGUCCACUCAAGAUGAGAGAAGAAGAUGAAGAAAUAAUCAAUGUAAAAUAAAAUGCUAUUAUUAUGUUAUUAAAUUAGAUUCAUGUAUAUAUUGGAGCUAAGAGGAGACUGUUAAUGUUCACCUUUGCUUGGUUUUUACAGAUUUCAGAGUGUUCCACGUGCUCUGUGUACACUUUCUCCAUGUGGCUAAAUAAUAAAUAAAAGCUCAUUUUCAGAUCAUA